rnacentral:rRNA from 1 species
GAUGAACGCUAGCUCCAGGCUUAACACAUGCAAGUCGAGGGACCGGAGCACGGUUGAGUAACACGUAUCCACCCUGCCCUUUACUCGUGGAUAGCCUUUCGACAGAAAGGUUAAUACCCGCUAGAAAGGGUGGGGAUGCGUUCCAUUAGGUGGUUGGUGAGGUCACGGCUCACCAAGCCUUCGAUGGAGAGGGGUUCUGAGAGGAAGGGCCCCCAGAUUGGAACUGAGACACGGUCGAAACUGCUACGGGACGCAGCAGUGAGGAAGACUGGUGAAGGGGGGCUAGCCCGAACCAGCCAAGUAUCGUGAAGGAGUAAGGCGUAGUGGUCGUAAACUUCUUGUAGAGAAGAAUCGGUAUUAAAUGAAUAAGCACCGGCUAACUCCGUGCCAGCAGCCGCGGUAAUAC